rnacentral:rRNA from 1 species
AGAGUUUGAUCCUGGCUCAGAACGAACGCUGGCGGCAGGCUUAACACAUGCAAGUCGAGCGCCCUUUCGGGGGAGCGGCAGACGGGUGAGUAACGCGUGGGAACCUACCCAUCUCUACGGAACAACUCCGGGAAACUGGAGCUAAUACCGUAUACGCCCUUUUGGGGAAAGAUUUAUCGGAGAUGGAUGGGCCCGCGUCGGAUUAGCUAGUUGGUGAGGUAACGGCUCACCAAGGCGACGAUCCGUAGCUGGUCUGAGAGGAUGACCAGCCACACUGGGACUGAGACACGGCCCAGACUCCUACGGGAGGCAGCAGUGGGGAAUAUUGGACAAUGGGCGCAAGCCUGAUCCAGCCAUGCCGCGUGAGUGAUGAAGGCCUUAGGGUUGUAAAGCUCUUUCGCCGGUGAAGAUAAUGACGGUAACCGGAGAAGAAGCCCCGGCUAACUUCGUG